GAAAGGAGAAAGCAUGUGCGGCACCUUAAACUCGCACACCAACCAGGUACAUAACUAAUUUUGAGGCUGAUCUUUUGAAUGUCUGCUGUCAAAAAAGCCAGUAGAGAACUUUAUAACUCAGAGCCUGGUGUUGGGGGUGUCACUGCCAACAGAGACAUCAAUCCUGGGGUGCGUGGGGUGGGUGGUCUAUCCCCCAAGGUACAAUGAUGGUCCCCACCUGACCACGGUUGUGACUUUUUGUGUAAACCAGUGGCUCUCAAAGUGGGUGGUAAUAGUCCCUGGCAGGGUGGGAUUCCCUAGGGAGGUGCAACAGAACCUGAAGUGCUCGCCUGGAUCAUGCCCUGCAGAGGGAUCUUCCCCUUUACAUUCUCCUUACGGUUCUUUGCGCAUUGCAAAGGUAUUUGCCAACUCCUCCUCUUCCCAUUGUUUCCAUGUUUAGUCUGGGUGGGGCUCUUGGUGGGAUGGGGCAUUAUAAAGCCACCAGGCUGGCGGCUGGAGGGCACCCCAUCCGACCCGGCCAUGAAGUCUGGCAGCCUCGUCUUCCUCCUUGUGGGGCUCCUUGCUUUCUGUGCCAUGAUGCCUCCUGCCUCCGGCAAUUGUACGUGACGCCUUUUGGAUCCUGACUCAAAGACGGACCCUUUUCUGCCUGGGCAAAGCUCUCUGGACAGGUCUAUUCUUCUAGCGCUGCUGCUACUUUGUGGGCAGCUCUGAGUGGGACCCCCUUUGCCCCUCACCCCCAAGACCCUUCAGAGGAACACAGAUAUUUCUGUGCCACAGAAGGUUGUCAAGUGAUCUGCCUGGGAAUGUUUUAGGGUGGUGGGUCCCAAUUAGCUAAUUACUGAGGACCCUCUAUUUUUCAAAAGCCAGGCCAUGGGUUGGACCCCCAAUUUUGAGAAUUUUGAUAACUCUAUGGUAGUUACCUCUGCAAAGCAUUUUUUAAAAAAUGGGGGGUAGCCUCUAAUAAGCAAAGGUAUACUAAAAAAAAACAGACUAGGGCUAAGAAAUAUCUGUUUUUUAACAGCAUGAUAUAUCAGCUAAGGGACGCGGGUGGUGCUGUGGGUUAAACCACAGAGCCUAGGGCUUGCCGAUCAGAAGGUCAGUGGUUUGAAUCCCUGCGACGGGGUGAGCUCCCGUUGCUCGGUCCCUGCGCCUGCCAACCUAGCAGUUCGAAAGCACGUCAAAGUGCAAGUAGAUAAAUAGGUAUCCCUCUGGCUGGAAGGUAAACGGUGUUUCUGUGCAUUGCUCUGGUUCGCCAGAAGCGGCUUGGUCAUGCUGGGUGCAUGACCCGGAAGCUGUACGCCGGCUCCCUCAGCCAAUAAAGCGAGAUGAGUGCCGCAACCCCAGAGUCGGCCACGACUGGACUUAAUGGUCAGGGAUCCCUUUAUCUUUAUAUCAGCAGCUAACCAUCACGAUAUAUCAAAAUGUCUGAAAUUGGAGAUUAGGUGUGAGGAUGAGGGAAGGAGCAGCCACGGAGAUGGGGUGGGUGGGGGGAGGAGAGGAAGCGGAGUCACCCCCCACUGCAUGGUUUGAGUGAGGGGAGAUGGGGAUGGGGGGGGUGCGUCAAGUGCCGUCAGCUGGGCACCCAGCAGUGGCAGCCAGUGAAGAGGCACAUCCACUGUGGCUGCUACUGCUUUUCUUCUGACUGAGAAAAGCUGCUCCGUCUCAGUGCCAGGGGAAGGUAGUGCCAGGGUCCCUUGAAGGGAAGGCGAUCAGCUCCCUUGUUCUCUCUCAGCGUGAAAGAAGACUCCUCAGGUCAGCAGUGUUUCCAGCUGAGAUCAUUGUGAGAUAUCAGCGAUGCCUUGAAAUUGGCUGCCCUGCUCUCCCUCAUGCGAGGAGAGACGAGGAGAGAUAUGUUGCUGUGUAUUGCCGGGUCAAAAUCGCUAUCGCGGUGUGAUUUCAAAACUGAUUUGGGCCAAUAUAUUGAAAAAUCACAGACUUCUAAAACAGACCAUAAAAUUUGUGGUAUUGCCAUGGAAAAAUGACAACCAGGCAGAGGGCCUUCUCGGUAGUGGUGCCCGCCCUGUGGGGUGCCCUCCUGAUAGAUAUCAAGGAAAUAAACAACUAUGUGACAUUUAGAAGACAACUGAAGGCAGCCCUGUUUAGGGAAGCUUUUAAUGUUUGAUGCAUUACUGUAUUUUAAGAUUUUGUUGGAAGCCGCCCAGAGUGGCGGGGGGGGGGGGCAGCCAGAUGGGUGGGGUAUAUACAAAUAAAAAAACACACAAACAAAUAAAAUUUACUGUGGGGGGAGGCAAGGGAUGGGGGACGCCCACUCCCAGGGUGUGUUCAGUGGACCCCCAGGGGUCCCUGGACCCCCUAAUUUCGACCCCCUAAUUUGUUUUAGGGGGCUCCAAAGCGAAUCCUUCGCUUCUCUUGUUUGGGUUGCCAUCUUCUGCAGCAAACCUGAGAGCUCAGUUUGGAUAGGAGGAAGGAAGAGAAGUGGGCUGAUAGCUGGGGAGGGAGGGGGAGAUGAUGGAGACACCUCCCUAACACACACACACAACUGAAGCUGGUCCUAAUAGCUUCAGCCCAAGAGCGGAGCAGGCUGAGAAAGGAAAUACUAGCCACAUAUCCCAUAAAUGAAAGAACAUGGAGGGACGUGAAGGGAAGAGGGUGGCAGCUGUGGGGGAAGUUGGCCAGCCCCAGCGAACACUGAUCCAGCUUCAACGCAGAUGUCCAUCUCUCUGCUGGGAUGGAGACAGGCAAAAACUAGGACCCUCUUCAUCCAAGCUGUGCUCAUCCUAGAAAGGCAAGCAUUAUUUGGGUUAGGGAUAUGCAAGAAGAGGCACAGCUCUGUUCUGCCCCAAAGUUGCCUUAUUUUCAAAAGAUGUCUCUAAGCGAGGACGUUGGUCUGUGUCACAGGGCCUUGGAGGUCAAGGGCUGGAAUCUGCCCUUUCAACUUGAGAAGAGUGAAGAAACCUUGCCAGCAGAAAUGUACGCUUGAUCUUCACUGUCCUAGCCCCAAGAAAUGCUGUCCAAACAUGUGCUCCAUGGUCUGCGUAUAUCCAAGUAAGAUGCCGAUGCCUUUGUGGAAGGAGGCAGCACUGUUAUGUGGAUGAUUUGUUCUUGUUUAUUGGGUUAUAAUUUGAAACUGCAAUAUUAGAAUCAUAGAAUCAUAGAGUUGGAAGAGACCACAAGGGCCAUCGAGUCCAACCCCCUGCCAAGCAGGAAACACCAUCAGAGCACUCCUGACAUAUGGUUGUCAAGCCUCUGCUUAAAGACCUCCAAAGAAGGAGACUCCAUCACACUCCUUGGCAGCGAAUUCCACUGUCAAACAGCUCUUACUGUCAGGAAGUUCUUCCUAAUGUUUAGGUGGAAUCUUCUUUCUUGUAGUUUGGAUCCAUUGCUCCGUGUCCGCUUCUCUGGAGCAGCAGAAAACAACCUUUCUCCCUCCUCUAUGUGACAUCCUUUGAUAUAUUUGAACAUGGCUAUCAUAUCACCCCUUAACCUCCUCUUCUCCAGGCUAAACAUGCCCAGCUCCCUUAGCCGUUCCUCAUAAGGCAUCGUUUCCAGGCCUUUGACCAUUUUGGUUGCCCUCCUCUGGACACGUUCCAGUUUGUCAGUGUCCUUCUUGAACUGUGGUGCCCAGAACUGGACACAGUACUCCAGGUGAGGUCUGACCAGAGCAGAAUACAGUGGCACUAUUACUUCCCUUGAUCUAAAGCCAGUUAAAACAAAUCAGUUUUAUAUAAUUACAAAUUAUUUAAUUUUAUUAUCUGUUUUUAGGCACCAGGUGAAAAUCUUCCUCCUCAACCAGGCUGAUUAAUAUUCCACAGCCUUUUAAAUGUCUCCAUGGAAAGGGGUGGGGUAUUGUUUUGCAGUUUUGUUUUUCAUUAUUUACUUCUUUUUAUUCUGUAUUUUGUUCGGCAAACCACACUGAGUUUUUAUGAUGAAGGGUGGUAUAUAAAUCUAAUAAAUAAAUGAUAGAAUCAAUUGCAAACAAGCAAGCAAGCAAAUGUUCCUGGCUUUUACUGUAUGACUAUUUUUAAUUACAUUUUGAGAGGCCUGCUUGUAUCUGAAGAGAGGUAUGCAAAUGUUUGCAGUGGAUAACUACAAUUAUUAUCUCAAAAGAUCCAAGAUGCCAAAGCGUUUAGUUCUAUGGAAAUUCCUGAAACUCGUCACCUGAAUUUUGCUCCAUUAUGUGUGAUAAGCAGAUAAUAGGAUGGGAAAUGCAUAAAAUGUUUGUCUGAGGGAAAGUGAUGGCAAGUAUUGUCAAAGACAAAAUAAUCAGGCACAAGUCUCAAGACUUCUCUCUUCUCUCAUCAGGGCCAUGACAGUGACACCAAGUCUGAAAUCCCAGCAGCUUCUGCAGUCUUGGUUUUGGAGAUUUGAACUCAGGACCCAGCAUCCAAAGGGAACGAUUGUUCCAGCUCCCUCCUGACCCUGGUGGGAUCAACCCAGCCCCCUCC